rnacentral:pre_miRNA from 1 species
CUCUGGAUGCAGCGGUUUAUCGAUCUCUUCCUGGCCUUGUUGGUCUCUCUUCCUUUCGUGGUGGUGGGGUUUGAUCCGUUUUUGUCUUGCUUCUUGAGGUUACAAAGCGGGAACCGGUCGAUAAACCUCUGCAUCCGGG